CACCAAACACACAGGCGUGAAAUACACUCAUGGGCUUGUCCACAUGCACACCUGCCACAAACACCCAUCAUAAGCCUCCAGGUAAACAAUAUGGGCAUGCGCAGUUAUACACACACUUGCACACACGUACACAUUUUUGGAGGCUUGAAUGCACACCCACGCCCAACACACACCCCCUCAGGCAGGCACACAUGGGUCCCCUAAACAUGGACUCAGUCUUCCUACAGGAGAAUUUCUAUUCUGAGCAAACACCCAGCAUCUGCAGUCAAUGGCAAACAGAUGAAUGGGACAAAAUUCACUCAUUUGUCCUGGUGGCCCUACCAAUACAGCCCUGAAGAAGCAGGCAGCAGGCUUGUCCCUUCACCACCAGGCCUUCAGAAGGGCAAGACCAGGGUGGGGAUCAGGUUUGGGCAGGAGAACACUCAGAGCUUCUGGGUACUGACUCAAGGCCAGGAGCCGACAGCCUUGUGCAUUCCUGACAAGUAGGUCACCAUGACAGGGAGCACUGGCUCACAUGCUGGGACCUAAGGUUGACUGGAAAAGACUUGGGGAAAAUCCAGCUGUUGUGGAUUUUCCCCAAGUGUUAGUAGUGACAGUCAGUGUUAGUAGACAGUCAGUGUUAGUAAGACAGCCAGUGUUAGUAGGUGCUGCCUUCCCAUGCCAGUGAGUUAGGUUGGGUCUAUGCAGCACCGGAGCUAUGGAGUGUGUGUCAGUGGCAAGGGCUCCUGCUCAGCACAGCAAAGACUAGGAGAAGAAGAGGGCAGUGGCUUAGGAGGGACUGUAGCGCUGGGAAGGAUGGGUGAGGCAGGGGACACAUUAUGAAUAGUGUUAUUUUUUAGCACACCAGUGUGUUAGGCACUGUGCUGGGUGUUUUUCAUGUAUUAUCUUGCAAGAUACAGCCCUGCAAGUUAGAUUUUAUUGCCUCCAUUUUACAGAUAAGGAGACUGAGGCUCAGAGGGCUUAAGUAAAUUUCUCUAGGUCUUCAGCUAGUAGGGGCAGAGCUCGGAUAUGAGUCAAGGCUUGUCUGACUCCAGAUCUCAGACUUUCUCAACAUCUUCAUGUUGAAGCUAAAACUUGCAUUUUAAACUAUCAAAAGCAAGAGGGACCUAAGGAGACAUGGCAACUAAAGGUACUGUGGUAUCCUGGAUGGGAUCCUGGGACAGAAAAAAAACGUGAACUUUAGUUAAUGACAAUUAACUGUGAUACAUAUACAAUUAAUUGUGAUACAUGUACUUUACUAAUGCAAAAGUGUUAGUAAUAGAGGAAACUGGGUGCAGGGUAUACAGGAACUAUUUAUACUAUCUUAAUGAUUCUUCAAAUCUAAAACUGUCCUAAAAUGAAAGACUUAUUUUUUAAACUUCGCAUUUUUGCCAGCAGCAGGAAGCAGUAGAUAACCAACAUUCCAAGGUGCAGCCUGUGUAUAAGGCCUGAAGAGGCCAGGGUCCCUGGAAAGUUUCUCAAAAUAAGAGGCCGUUCUGGACUUUGUACCACUGAGUUCCCAUCACCUACAUAACUUGAAAUAGAGACAUUAAUUGCAGGGCUGUGAUCACAGCCAACGCCACCUUCCUAAAUGGGGCAAAAGGGCACUGAAGUCAGGCAGAGCAGCUGCAAACUGGCAUGAAUUCCCAAGGCUGUGGCAGAGAAUUCUUGCUGGGUGUGCCUGUACCUCCCUGACAAUGUGGCCUGGCCAAGCUGAUGUCCCUCUAUUUUCUCAACUGUUGCCACUAGAAUGUAGUAGGAACAAUGUAUAAGUCGUACACUUCUUUUAUUAAAUUUAUUCUUAGAUAUCUUAUUCUUAGUAAUACUACUAUAAAUGUAGCUGCUUUCUUGAUUUCAUUUUCUGAUAUUUUAUUUCUAGUACAUGAAAAUAAAAUUCAUUUUUGUAUAUUGAUCUUAUGUUUUGUCACCUUGCUGAACUUGCUUAUUAGUCCUAACAGUUUUUUAGUGGAUUCCUUAGGAUUUUCUAUAUACUGCAAGAUUAUGGCAUCUACAAAUAGAGAUAGUUUAAGUUCUUUCUUUCCAA
rnacentral:lncRNA from 1 species